AAAACAUGUCCUUUAGAAUUUAAUUUAAGGUCUGACCUGCCCACUGAAUUAAAUGGCCGCAGUAUUUUAACUGUGCAAAGGUAGCAUAAUCAUUAGUCUUUUAAUUGAAGGCUUGUAUGAAUGGUUGGAUGAAAUAUUAACUGUUUCAUAAAAAUUUAUUUAGAAUUUUAUUUUUUAGUUAAAAAGCUAAAAUUUUUUUAAAAGACGAGAAGACCCUAUAGAUCUUUAUAGUUUUUAUAUUAUAAUUAUUUAGAUUAUUUAAUUUAUAAUAGAUUGAACUAUUUUGUUGGGGUGACAUUAAAAUUUAAUUAACUUUUAAUAAAUUUUUACAUUAAUGUAUGAUUAAUUGAUCCAUUAUUAAUGAUUAUAAAAUUAAGUUACCUUAGGGAUAACAGCGUAAUUUUUUUGAAGAGUUCAUAUCGAUAAAAAAGAUUGCGACCUCGAUGUUGGAUUAAGAUAUAAUUUUGGGUGCAGCAAUUCAAUAAUUAAGUCUGUUCGACUUUUAAUUUCUUCAUGA
rnacentral:rRNA from 1 species